GAUGAACGCUGGCGGCGCGCCUAACACAUGCAAGUCGAACGAUUAAAGCACCUUCGGGUGUGUAUAAAGUGGCGAACGGCUGAGUAACACGUGGGCAACCUGCCCCUUUCAUUGGGAUAGCCACGGGAAACCGUGGAUAAUACCGAAUACUUCGAGACUUCCGCAUGGAAGACUCGAGAAAGCUCCGGCGGAGAGGGAUGGGCCCGCGGCCUGUUAGCUUGUUGGUGGGGUAACGGCCUACCAAGGCAAUGAUGGGUAGCUGGGUUGAGAGACCGACCAGCCAGAUUGGGACUGAGACACGGCCCGGACUCCUACGGGAGGCAGCAGUGGGGAAUCUUGCACAAUGGGCGAAAGCCUGAUGCAGCGACGCCGCGUGCGGGAUGAAGGCCUUCGGGUUGUAAACCGCUUUCAGCAGGGACGAGGCGAAAGUGACGGUACCUGCAGAAGAAGCCCCGGCUAACUACGUG
rnacentral:rRNA from 1 species